rnacentral:ncRNA from 1 species
CAAAAGUUUGGUCCUAGCUUUACUGUCAGCUAUAGCUUGAUUUAUACAUGCAAGUAUCCGCACCCCCGUGAGAAUGCCCUGCAGUUCCCCGCCCGGGAACAGGGAGCUGGUAUCAGGCACACAUGAAGUUAGCCCACAACACCUUGCUAAGCCACACCCUCAAGGGAAUGCAGCAGUGAUAAAUAUUAGGCCAUGAGCGAAAGCUCGACUUAGUUAGAACUAACAGGGCCGGUUAAACUCGUGCCAGCCACCGCGGUUAUACGAGAGGCCCAAGUUGACAGACCACGGCGUAAAGGGUGGUUAGGAAAAUAAACAAACUAAAGUCGAACGACUCCAACACCGUGAUACGUUUCCGGAAAUACGAAGCCCAACCACGAAAGUGACUUUACCCUAUCUGACCCCACGAGAGCUGAGAAACAAACUGGGAUUAGAUACCCCACUAUGCUCAGUCGUAAACCUUGACAGCUAACCACGCCCGCUGUCCGCCCGGGUAUUACGAGCUCUAGCUUGAAACCCAAAGGACUUGGCGGUGCUUCAGACCCACCUAGAGGAGCCUGUCCUAUAACCGAUAGUCCCCGUUGAACCUCACCCCCUUUUGCCCAAAUCCGUCUAUAUACCGCCGUCGCCAGCUUACCCUAUGAAGGGCCAGUAGUGAGCUUAAUUAGCAUAGCCCAGAAUGACAGGUCGAGGUGUAGCUAACAAGGGGGGAAGAGAUGGGCUACAUUCCCUAAAGAAGGGAACACGAAAGAUGACCUGAAAUGCAAACUAGAAGGAGGAUUUAGCAGUAAGCAGAAACCAGAGAGUUCCGCUGAAGCAGGCCCUGAAGCGCGUACACACCGCCCGUCACUCUCCCUGAACUAAGAAAAAAAAAUAACUAAUACCAGACAUGGUGCCAAGGGAGACAAGUCGUAACAUGGUAAGUGUACCGGAAGGUGCACUUGGACAAAC